CCAUUCUUCGAUGAUUUGUUUACGAAUUUCAUAAAGUGCUAAUUACGUUUUCAACGAUGUAGAAGUAAACAAGUGUUUUUCGUGAACUAUAUUUUUAUUUUUUCACUCAAAGAACUGCUUGAUUCGUCAGUUUUUUUAACGAGUAGCAGACGUAUAAAUUACAGUAAAUAAUAACAACUUGAUUCGCCGUCACAUGUCGGAAUCAAAUGGUUUGUGACACCGACCAUUCAUUUCGCACAACACUCUGCACAUAACCUGAAAGUUGUGUUUAUAGUAUGAAGAUGCAGCGUCACCAACUUCGUUAGAUUCGGUGCAGAGUGUAGUGGCUAUUCUGAUUCGAGGUAUGUGUUUAGAAGAUUGGUCAGCCUGAUAGAUUUUAAAUUCUUCGUCAGAAGUUCAGAAGUGCCAAGUAAUGAAUGUGUCUGAGACGAAUAGAAUAGAUAUUCCAAAGUAUUUCAGAAAUAAUUAAAGCGCCGAGGCGAUCUCGAUGCGUCUUGCUCUGGUCAGGUACUUGUUAAAGUGGAACUCUUUCUCGAGUUCCGUGAGCUGCUUGUUCGUGAAGUUCGUACGACCAGUGUUGUUGAAGCCACCUGCGAUACCGGCCAAUGGACCGCCGGUCAGGCAGUUUACAGGACCGUUCGUGGAACUGGAGUACGUGGAUACGCUGGCUCCCCUGAUCGUGCUGCCGCCGAACUCGCCCACGCUUGAAUUCGUCUUUCCUGCUGCAACAGAUUUCAAGUCUUCCUUUACUGAUAUCAGUCCUCAAGGAAGUGGAGUUCAGAGUCGAGUCAAAAUUUGUGAACUGUCUCGCCAACUCCUGCCCAACGGACUCCAAGCAUGCUAUCGUGGCGUGGACAGCCGACGUCAUAGCAAAGUAUGACGCGUGAGAAUAAACUGCAGCAGUGGGAGAGUAUUAGGAUCUGCUAAUAACCCUCUGAGGCUAUAGCACGCGAAUAUGCAGCUACAGUACGGAGUUUGCGAUCCCGAGGUACCCGAGCCGUAAGGGGGCUAGCAGGUCCCCACAGAUAUGAGAGUUAGAAGAUACUGCAAACAGUAUUAAAACAAUGUAAGAGUCAUGUCAGACAAAAUUAUGAUAAGAAGAAUGAAACUAUGCCUGUAUAGUUAAUUACUUGAAAUAAAUACAAGACGCGAGAUCUGCUAAUAGACUCAUCGAUAAAACCUCGCAGAUCAUUUCCAAUGAAACGAUCAAUCUCAAUAAAAAACCGAUCAGCCGAGGACGAAGAAAUUCGCAUUGUCCCGAAUACUCCCGAGAAAGGAGUCAUUAAACGAAACAGCUACCGCAAACGACGCCGUGUCCUAAUGACCAAAAUCAAACACGACACCCACAGACGUUUCCAGAAGCCUAAUCGAAACCUCGAACCAGAACGAAUCGCCCGAUGGUUUCCUGGCCACGACGAAGACACCGGGUAGCUGGAUUGCCCGUGGUCGAGAAAGGGAAACGCGAGGCACAGCGAUUCAUCCCCUGGAAGACAAUAAUUCAUCCUCAUUGAAAGGGUUUCAGAGGGCCCGCAUGUGUUGGCCAUCGGUCUAUCGAUUGUCCAAGCUUCACGGCGGUCCAAGUGCGCCCGUUCGACGAAGGACGAUACAUCAUAAUUUGCUGGCGAAAUGUUUACGAAUGCUGGGGAAACGCGUGGUUUUCGCACGUGACGAACUCCAGAUGCUCACGGUCCCUGGCUCCCAAAGGAAAAGGAGUGGCUGCGUACUGUCAUUAGCCGACGGACAUUGGCCACCCCGUGGCGAGCCACAAUGUGUCGCUGAACAGCCGAUACGUGUCUAGCCACUGGCUUAACUAAUGCUUAUAAACGGACGCGUCGAGUCAGUCCUGAGAGCUAGCGUUAAUUGACGCGGUGCGUUUCUCGUCUCCACCCCCGCGGUGAGGUCGUUUGGACCGAAGGAGUUUUUGGUUUGUGCUGAAGUCUAUAUUCAUUCAUGACGAGAAUAGGUAAAGACAAAUUUUUCUUAAUUAGGACCCUCUCUU